AAAUUGAAGAGUUUGAUCAUGGCUCAGAUUGAACGCUGGCGGCAGGCCUAACACAUGCAAGUCGAACGGUAACAGAAAGAAGCUUGCUUCUUUGCUGACGAGUGGCGGACGGGUGAGUAAUGUCUGGGAAACUGCCUGAUGGAGGGGGAUAACUACUGGAAACGGUAGCUAAUACCGCAUAACGUCGCAAGACCAAAGAGGGGGACCUUCGGGCCUCUUGCCAUCGGAUGUGCCCAGAUGGGAUU
rnacentral:rRNA from 1 species